rnacentral:lncRNA from 1 species
UCUAGGAACCCUUCUGGUAACAUUUCCUCAGGGUUCUUGUAAUGAACUGCUCCUGCAGCGUCAUUUAGUGGUGUUUCUGGCAUACGCAAGGACCAUAAGAACCUCUGCCCACUCUGCUCUAACCCAAGUGCUAUUUCUUUCACUUGGGGUGGUCCAUGGCAUCCAUGGCUUCCGAAGCAAAGAAAAACCACUGAUGAUUCAGGCUGAUUAUCAAGCCAUUUCAUGAUCCUGUCGCGUUGGAGCUGCUCCAAUUCAGGGUGAGGCAAACUAUCAGGGUGAAUCACUGCUCCAACUGGAUAAAUUGGAGGGUUUUGGCCGUUGACAAAACAACUAAGAGCAUAAGUCUCAAGCUCUUCAAAUGUAUUUAUCACUAUACCUUCGGCGUCCUUGAACCUUUCAGCAAUCUUGACAAAUGCGGUAUAACUUCCAUGCUUGUUGAACAUGAGUGAAGGCAGAACACGUGAAGGGACAGGAUUUGCAAAUCCUGGGAUCAAAUGUCCAAGAUCCUUGUUUGGAUUUUCGGGGUUCGGGUAUUCAAAUUCCUAACCGUUCUGUCUAUGUAUCGCCACAAGUGGACGUUCUCGGCCACAAGUGUACAGUUUUCUCUGCAUUUCAGCAAGAGGGGACAGCAACAGCUAGAAAAGAAAUAUUAUGAUUAAUUUUUAUAUUUUUAACGUCACGUUAAAUUGCCGUUUGUGAUUUUAACAGAAGUGACCAAAAUGAUCAAAUUAUAUUAUGUGAAUGCUUAAAUUGUAAACUUUUUAUUUUGAAUGCUUAAAAGAAAAAAUUUUUAUAAUUUAAUAACUAUUUGUAUAAUUUAUCCAAAAUUUAAUACAAUUUAUGUGGCUGCCAGGUUAAUAUUAAAAGCAAAGGAGCUUAUUUGAUAAGCGGAUAAUUUAUUGAAUAAAUAUACGAAAAUUUAAAUUAUUAAUUCAAAAAUAAGAUGAAAUAAUAAUUAAAAGCAAUUUAAAAUUAGGAUAAUAUAAAUAAUUUCCUUGACAACAUUGAACAAGGGCUAAGAAGAUAAGGACGCAACGCAGGGCUUAUUGUCAAUGUAAUCUGAGUAGACUGACAUGCAGAUAGAGGGAGAUAAAUCAGGUGUUGGCUAUCAUAUCCUCUAUGAAUCGUCCAAUUGAAUUAAAUGAAGAUCCACCAUUCAUAACAGCCUUCCUAGCCAUCUCUGCCAUUUCCUUCACUUUCUUCCUAACCUCACUGCCUGCAUCCAUAACCUGUCGUACUCCUUCCUCUAUCUCCUCUGCCUUCACAAUAUCACUUGUCCCUCCCCUAUAAUCCAACCUCAACUCUACUGCUAAUCCCACCUCCUUCAUAAUAUAUGCAUUUAGCUGUUGUUCCGCAUAUAUAGGCCAUGUUACAAUCGGCACGCCAUGCCACAAGCUUUCCAGGAUCGAGUUCCAACCGCAAUGAGAUACAAACCCUCCUACUGCUUUGUGGCCGAGAACGUCCACUUGUGGCGCCCACCUGCAUAUCAUCCCCCUCUCCUGGAUCCUUUCUAGGAACCCUUCUGGUAACAUUUUCUCAGGGUUCUUGUAAUGAACUGCUCCUGCAGCGUCAUUUAGUGGUGUUUCUGGCAUACGCAAGGACCAUAAGAACCUCUGCCCACUCUGCUCUAACCCAAGUGCUAUUUCUUUCACUUGGGGUGGUCCAUGGCAUCCAUGGCUUCCGAAGCAAAGAAAAACCACUGAUGAUUCAGGCUGAUUAUCAAGCCAUUUCAUGAUCCUGUCGCGUUGGAGCUGCUCCAAUUCAGGGUGAGGCAAACUAUCAGGGUGAAUCACUGCUCCAACUGGAUAAAUUGGAGGGUUUUGGCCGUUGACAAAACAACUAAGAGCAUAAGUCUCAAGCUCUUCAAAUGUAUUUAUCACUAUACCUUCGGCGUCCUUGAACCUUUCAGUAAUCUUGACAAAUGCGGUAUAACUUCCAUGCUUGUUGAACAUGAGUGAAGGCAGAACACGUGAAGGGACAGGAUUUGCAAAUCCUGGGAUCAAAUGUCCAAGAUCCUUGUUUGGAUUUUCGGGGUUCGGGUAUUCAAAUUCCGAGCCGUUCUGUCUAUGUAGCGCUUGUAGGUACAGCACGAGAC